AACGAACGCUGGCGGCAGGCUUAACACAUGCAAGUCGAACGCACCGCAAGGUGAGUGGCAGACGGGUGAGUAACACGUGGGGAUCUGCCCAAUGGUACGGAAUAGCUCCGGGAAACUGGAAUUAAUACCGUAUGAGCCCGCAAGGGGAAAGAUUUAUCGCCAUUGGAUGAACCCGCGUCGGAUUAGCUAGUUGGUGUGGUAAAGGCGCACCACGGCUACGAUCCGUAGCUGGUCUGAGAGGAUGAUCAGCCACACUGGGACGGGGACACGGCCCAGACUCCUACGGGAGGCAGCAGUGGGGAAUAGUGGACAAUGGGCGCAAGCCUGAUCCAGCCAUGCCGCGUGAGUGAUGAAGGCCUUAGGGUUGUAAAGCUCUUUCGCCGACGAAGAUAAUGACGGUAGUCGGAGAAGAAGCCCCGGCUAACUUCGUGCCAGCCGCCGCAGUAAAAC
rnacentral:rRNA from 1 species